GUUUUGCUAUUCAAUCACUGGUUACUCCUGCUGCAACAUGUUUGUACAGAGAAGAUAAGUGGUUAUAAUUAUACAAGCUUCCAGCUUGCACGCCACCCAUACUGUGCACACUUCCCCACUCAAUGACCUUCAUCAAAGAGCUGAGAGCUCUGCUGAUUUCUCCACCCAGCUGAGUUCCAUACUCUCUAUUCAAUGCAACUAAUUUCUAUAAGCUCCAUUAUUUGGAGUCCCUUUUGUGGCCUCUUUUGAUCCCGGUGAGUUAAUUCUCAUCUUCUUUACUUCUUCUGGUAUGGCAUUAACAUCAGCUUACUGGAUCAGUUUUGGUCUCUCUAGGGGAAGAAAAAUGAGGUUUUGUUACCACACUGACACCUGGAAAGCGUUAGGAACAGAAAUCAUCAGGAAAAAAUGGUGUUAUGUCCAGCUGUUUCCUUACAAGAAAAAAACAACAUUCGACGGUGGAUGUAAGUGCUACCGGAAGGGGAAGGUAUUCUACUGUGAGCAGACCUGCUGAAGCCACUGCAGCAAGCAACAUGGGACCACUGGAUUAUCACUGAUUAAUUCUUAUAGUGAAACUGUUAAACACAUAAUUUCAUGAUCUGUAAAUGUUAUGUAUCACUCUGCAUUCCAUUGAUGUUAUUGAUUUUUCAAGUAUUAAAAUCAUUUUUGUUUCUUUUUAUAAUGGCCUGAAUGUGCAGAAAUGAAAUGCUUAUUCCAGAGCUACAAUGAAUUGACAAUCAGUCUGAAGAAGGGUUUCGGCCCGAAACGUCGCCUAUUUCCUUCGCACCAUAGAUGCUGCUGCACCCGCUGAGUUUCUCCAGCAUUUUUGUGUACCUGCUACAAUGAAUUGGGUCAGUUUUUGAACAUGAUGGAGCCUAACCUGCAAAUAUAGGGGAAUGAUACAACCCCUCCUAUACAAUUGACAUAGGUACAAUUAUGAUUUCCCAAAGGAUUAGAUUGUGACCAAGGUUUGGAAAGUGGGGAUUCAUGUAUUGCAAUAGAGUUUUGAAUUGCUAAUAGCCAAGGCUAGUCCCCGCAUUGUUAUUGCAGUGGUUUGAUAGGAUUACACCCAGGUGAGCAUAGAACAUAGAAUGGAGCAGCACAGGAAAAUGCCCGAUUCACUCAGCGGGACAGAAUCUCUGGACAGAAGGAAUGGGUGAUGUUUCAGGUUGAGACCCUUCUUAAGACGGGUUUGAAGAAGGGUCUCGACCCGAAAUGUCACCCAUUCCUUCUAUCCAGAGAUGCGGCCUGUUCCGCUGAGUUACUCCAGCAUUUUGUGUCUAUCUUCAGUGUAAACCAGCAUCUGCACUUCCUUCCUACACAGGAACAUGCCAUUGGCCCGCAAUGUCCAUGCCGAACAUGAUGCUAAACUAAAUUAAUUUCAUCUGCCUGCACGUGAUCCAUAUCCCUCCAUUGCCUGCAUAUCCUUGUGCCCAUCUAAAAGCCUCUUAAACACCACUGUCCUAUCUGUUUACGAUCUUGGCAGCGCAUUCCAGGAAUCCACCAGAUUCUGUGUAGAAAAGCUACCUCACACAUCUCCUUUCCACCUUUGCCCCUCGAACCUUAAAUCUGUUAUUGGGUUUUUUCCCUGAGUUUUUGUUAUGUUAUUUAUUAUGUACAUAUUCUGUGUGCUGCAGCAAGUAAGACUUUCAUUGUUCUAUCUGGGACAUAUGACAAUAAAACACUCUUGACUCUUGCCUCUUGACAUGUCUUUAAUAUUUCCCACAUGGAAAAAGGUUCUGACUGUCAAUUGUUGAAGUCGUAUUCAGAGGUCUGGGUUACUGAUUAGGAAACAUGAACUUUAAACCCUCUGUGAGAAUUUACAAUGGUGUAAUGGUACAAUUAUAGCAUCUGAUCAGUAGUCCAUUCUUGUGAAAACUACUUCAAGACUAAAUGCAAUUAAUUAAAUAAAACUGGAUAAACAGGCUAAUUAUUAUUAAGUGUGAACAGAAAAUUCUGGAUUACUCUUUAAACAAACACUCUAGCUUACUGUUAUCCUUCAGAGAAGGAAGCUAUGCACCUCUACCCAGGUACCUACCUUAUGUCAUUCAAGACACGCCAAUCUGAUUGGUAUUAAAAUAGUUUAGGGAGCCAUUCAAUUCAGAGAGUCAAUUAGGGAUGGAUAAUAAAUGCUAUUCUUGCUAGUGCUGUUCAUCUCCAGUGAGUGAAUUAAAAAGAAAAGCUGAUUGACUAAUCUGUGUAUUUUCUGUUGUGAAAGUACUAUCUGAUGAUUUCCAUGAACACUCUGUGCUUAUGAUAAACCAGGAUGCGGUGGAGUUUGUUCCAUUUAAAACAAUACACUGCAAUUUGUGUUUAAUUAAGAUAGACUACAAAUUGUAAUUGGAGAUUAGGUGUUAAAAAGCAAAGAGUU